UCCCCCAGCAAUGGGUAAAGAGACACAUGCUGAUGGUGUUGCUCUUCUACCAGGCAGGGGCAGAGCAGACAGCAGUCCUUUGUUCAUCGAAGCUUGGUGUCUGGCUUGGUGGCCAAAGCAAUUUCAUGCCUACGACACAUAA
ensembl:snoRNA